UUUAUUAACAGCACAACUCCUGGUAUAUUUACAAUACUAUUCACAGCAUACUUGUCUCACACCUAUCUACACUAAGACAGGAUUUACAAAAGGGAUGGGAUCUCAAUCCACAUCCGGGUUGUACUCAAGAUCCCUCUCUGGAUCAUCUUCUGCUUCAAAAAUCUUUCUCCUUCUCAGGUUUUACAUCAACGCUCUCCUUCUUAAGUUCCUCCUCCUUGGCUUCUCCUCAGGGUCCUGAAAUGGUUAUUCAAUAACCAAUGAGACCACGUCUCAGCGAGUUCUAUCCCCUAAGACUCGAUUAGUAACACUACUCGACUGCUUAAACACAGCACGAGUCAGAGGACUUACCUUGGCAUCAGAUUCCAUCUGCAUAUUAAUACAGUUCAAUAGGUACGCAAACAAUCACAUCACCGAUCGAAGCAUCGGUCAAAUUGACCUAGUCGAUUACAUUUCCGUCGGACCAUUUCUAGGUCAUUCAUCCCACACAAAGCAACUUUCUUAAAUUUUAAUAGCUUUACGGUCCCACCCAACCCUUUCCAGAUCUAGUGGCUUUAUGGUCCCACCCGACCCUUUCAAGAUCUAGUGACUUUGCGGUCCUACCCGACCUUUUUAAGAUCUAAUUUAGGAAUGAAUCUUAAAAUUACUCAUAAAUUACUUUAGCACUAAAUAAAGUUCAAAUAAAUAAACAGACAGCACCACGACGAUCAGCACAAAAUUCCGGUCACCGGCUAUCUCGGUUGAAUUUCCGGAAAAAUAAAUAAUUAAAUAAUGAAUUUCGAAAAUUAAAUAAAUAAUUAAAAAAAUCCAAUUUAUGCCCGUAAUGCCGAAUUGGAUGCCACGACGAGCCCGAAAAAUUACCGAGACUUGUUCCAUAAAUAACAUGGUAUGCUUACUUGUUAAUGUCUAUUUCUAACCACCUAACAUGCAUCAUUAAAUCUCUAAUUUAAUUGAUUUAAACUAAUCUAACCACCUAAUUACAUUUAAUUAAAUCUAACCAACCCUAAAUAUAAUUAGCAAACUAAGAAAGUAUUAGUGAGUAAAACUCACUUGGUAAAAGCGGAGACUGAAUCACCGCAACGGUGUCGCGGGCUUUCGACAACACCGGCGGGCUUGGACCGGGCCUUAAGCUUAGGCCCAACAAAUCUCAGCCCAACUGAGAUUUGUUCUUACUUUUGGGCCAGACCCAAGUUGGAUUGGGCCUGCUGCGAAGAUGGGCUUCAAGCUAUGGGCUGGGCUGCAAUUGAUUUGCUGGAAUUGGGCUUGACCAAUUAAUUUACUUGGACUGGACUGGGCUGACUUGCGGCCCAAAUGGGCUGAACAAACUGCAACUGGAAGCGGGCUGUUCGGUGGGCUACAGCUUUGGACCGUUGGGCUCGUGAAUUUGCGGGCCCAACCGUGGGCUUCUGAACUGACGGCUUCAAUUAGGCCUGACUUGCACCGAAUUCCGCUGGGCUGAUGAUGCGUGUCGAUCCACGAGCAAAGAUGGGAGACAACGCGAACGCUGGUCAACGAAGGCUUCGUUCGGUGGGGAUUUGACCAAGAUGGGGGCGUGCUGGCGUGGACGAUGGAGGGAACAGCAGCGUCGAAGAAGCUGUGCCGUUGAUCUUCAAGCGUUGCUGGUCUUCAAGCUUCGCUGGCGGACGUGUGGAGUGGAGCUGAGGGAAACGAUGGCAAGCUGGCAGCUGGGGGUUUUGUUGGAUGCUGUUCGGUCAACAAAUCAAAGGGGCAAAUUGCUGGAGUUGACCGGUGUGUUGGCAGCGUGAGGAAGCUCAGUGGAUUCCGCGGACGAAGACGUGGGUUUCUUCCUCGGCUGAAUCGGUGGCAGUGCACUGGCAGUCAACGAUCGAGAUUAAUCCUGCUGAAGAUUUCGCUGGAUUGAAAAUCCCGUAGACUGGUUUCUCGAUGGAUUUGCUGGUCGAAGAUGGGGAAGUGGAAACCGGCACAUGGACUGGAGGCUCGGUGGAUUGUGGCUUCGCAUGGGGCAGCUUCGGUAAGUCUUCAACGCUGCUGGACUAGACACGAAGCAGUGGAGCUGCACGCGGUCAACAAUCUUGCUGAGAUUGACCAAAAUCUCGGUGGAUUGGUCUUC
rnacentral:lncRNA from 1 species